rnacentral:rRNA from 1 species
GAUGAACGCUGGCGGCGUGCCUAAUACAUGCAAGUCGAGCGAACAGACGAGGAGCUUGCUCCUCUGACGUUAGCGGCGGACGGGUGAGUAACACGUGGAUAACCUACCUAUAAGACUGGGAUAACUUCGGGAAACCGGAGCUAAUACCGGAUAAUAUAUUGAACCGCAUGGUUCAAUAGUGAAAGACGGUUUUGCUGUCACUUAUAGAUGGAUCCGCGCCGCAUUAGCUAGUUGGUAAGGUAACGGCUUACCAAGGCAACGAUGCGUAGCCGACCUGAGAGGGUGAUCGGCCACACUGGAACUGAGACACGGUCCAGACUCCUACGGGAGGCAGCAGUAGGGAAUCUUCCGCAAUGGGCGAAAGCCUGACGGAGCAACGCCGCGUGAGUGAUGAAGGUCUUCGGAUCGUAAAACUCUGUUAUUAGGGAAGUACAAAUGUGUAAGUAACUAUGCACGUCCUGACGGUACCUAAUCAGAAAGCCACGGCUAACUACGUG